CAAGAAAUAGUUUAUUUAAAAUAUUAGUUUUGGAGACUAAAGAAGGAAAAAUCUUUUCUUGA
rnacentral:tRNA from 1 species